CAAAUGAAUUGACGGGGCCCGCACAAGCGGUGGAGCAUGUGGUUAAUUCGACGCAACGCGAAGAACCUUACCAGGGCUUGACAUCCCCUGACCGCGUAUGAAAGUACGUUUUCACCCUCGGGUGACAGGGAGACAGGUGGUGCAUGGUUGUCGUCAGCUCGUGUCGUGAGAUGUUGGGUUAAGUCCCGCAACGAGCGCAACCCCUAUUGUUAGUUGCCAUCAUUCAGUUGGGCACUCUAGCGAGACUGCCGGUAAUAAACCGGAGGAAGGUGGGAUGACGUCAAAUCAUCAUGCCCCUUAUGACCUGGGCUACACACGUGCUACAAUGGUUGGUACAACGAGUUGCGAGUCGGUGACGGCGAGCUAAUCUCUUAAAGCCAAUCUCAGUUCGGAUUGUAGGCUGCAACUCGCCUACAUGAAGUCGGAAUCGCUAGUAAUCGCGGAUCAGCACGCCGCGGUGAAUACGUUCCCGGGCCUU
rnacentral:rRNA from 1 species